ensembl:lncRNA
AUAUUUAAGUAAAAAGAUAAAAUUAGAUCCUUGGGGUGAAAUGAUGAAGAAAAUAUUAUUUCAUUAUUUCUAUAUCAAUAGUUUCAUGUUUAAUUACCUAGCAAUUUCUGAGUGAAAUUAGUUUGAAAGGGUUAGGGAUUUGAUUAUGUUAGACAGCAGGACAACUUUUUGAAAACUAUUUAUUUUGCUAAAUUUGAGGUGGGCUAAUUAAUUUGUUUGGUUAAAUUUGGAGAUUACAAAACAGACCAAAGGAAUGCAAAUAUCUGAGGCUAUGAUGAAUGCAAAAACAUCACUCUCCACAUUUGGCCUGUCGUCUCUGUGAAACAUCUGGAUUAGAAGUGUAGUUGGGCCCCUCAGCGGUCUGUAUUCAGUUUGCUGUGCUAGCAAACAUCCAAGUGCCCAUUUAGCCCGAGAGAGCUGCUCACCAUAAGCUCUCUAUCCAGAUUGUAUAUAUUUAAACAAAUGAGUUUUGCCAUUAGCAGCAAACACACAGUGAUAGUACUGUCUGCCCGCUCUGACAAAAUAAAACAGAAGAGUUGUGCAGUCUCUCAAUGAGAAGUCCAUGUCACAGCUGGUCUUCCUGACAGUGCUUGUGAAUCAUCCUUACAUCUCUUGUUUAAGGUCAGUUCUGGAGGCGGAUAUCCCAUUCCACAUCAACACUCUCGGCAAUAAGACAAUUUGUGAACACGAGCCCAGAUGCCGAGAUCUGUCUCCUCCAGCUCUUACCUCCCUUCAGUGCCAGCUCUCUUCUCAGAGGUGCUAGCCAAUGGUUUCUGAGUAGACAAAGUGAACAGAAGCACAGUGCUGACAGUAUUCCCUGUGUGGCUUACACACCAUUAUGGCUGGGCAUGCGAUACCAGGAAUCCACUCAGACACAGCGUGUGAUAAGGUCAGGCUGCAGAUCUUCCUAAUCUGGGAUUGUCAACAUGGAGCCAUUGGCAAGGAGGCUGUUUGUCCACAAGGUCCAUUUGCGAAGAAAAUGCAAGGACCUAAAUAAAUAGGUCCAUGUGCCAAAGGGGAGCCUUUGCCAAAAAGCACAGAUGCUGUGAAUGGUUGGUACUUAAAUCAAUGCUAUUUAUGUGAAUGUGACAUACGUAAGAAAACAAGCGGAGUGUGUCUGUUAAGUAGCUGCUAUGCCAUGUGCCAGUUCUCUGUCUGGCUCUCACAUGUCUACACAAACAAAAACAAGUUGUUACUAUGUCUUUACGCCACAAGGAGCUACAUCUGAAGCUGCACAUGUACUAAAGUAAUUUUUGAAGGUCAGAUCAAGUUUAAUUAACUCUUUAUGGUAUCAACUCCACUGCUAAAGUGUAUUUUUCUCAGCUGGAUCACAGCAGUGCAGAGAUGACUUAAAAAUUUAAGUCAUGGUGAACUCCAACCCUGUAAUGAAAAUCAGUAAGGAACCCAGAUAAAAUAGGACUGCUGUCUUCUCCACUCAUUCUACCUGUUAUCAUAUCCCAGGAGUUGACAUGGCACAGUGUGCAGCCAGGUUUGAAACGUGACACCCUCAUCGAACCCCUGGAGUCCCAGGGGAGCCCCUCAGACAGGCUUACUCAAGCUUCAGAGAUGAAAAUCAAUAAACAAUCUGAAGUUCUCAGAAAACAUUUGUUUCUGUAGUUUAAUGAAUAUACAAGUUCAGUGUAUCCAGAAAUCUAAUAAUAUUAAUACUAAUACUACUAAUAAUAAGUUUUCUUUAUAAAGCGCCUUUCCCAAGCUCAAGUAGAAAAUACAUAAACAGCAUCAAUCAUGAAUAAAUCCAAAGAUUUAACAAUACAUUUGAAUAUAUAAGUGUUUGCGCUCCAUCUCAUUUUCCUUUUUAAAUAUUUACAUUUAAUAAUAGGUGACAAGCCUGAAUAAACUUGAUUUUAUUUAUUUUUUUAUUUAAUUUUUAUUUUUUUUUUUAUUUUUUUUUACGUGAAAACAGCACACCAGAGUGACAAUGAAAGUGUAUGAAACUGCUAAAGAUCAUUUCUUGAUAUGUUCAGGGCAUGAGAAUAUAUACUUGCAGGGCAGAAGAAUCUUAUAUUUUAGACAAAAUAUCACAGGUUACUUUGUGUAAAUUUGCUCUGCCAGUAUUCC